rnacentral:rRNA from 1 species
UACGUAGGUGGCAAGCGUUGUUCGGAAUAACUGGGCGUAAAGGAUGCGUAGGCGGUUAAACAAGUUAUAUGUUAAAUAUAUAGGCUUAACCUGUAGAAAGCAUAUAAAACUGUUUAACUAGAGUGCAGGAGAGGUAAGUGGAAUUCCUAGUGUAGCGGUGAAGUGCGUAGAGAUUAGGAAGAACACCAGUGGCGAAGGCGACUUACUGGACUGUAACUGACGCUGAGGCAUGAGAGCAUGGGGAGCAAACAGG